CUCGUACUCCCUCCUUUUGAAAAAGCUUGUCCCAAACUUGUCCCUCAAAUGAAUGUAUCUAGCACUAACUCUGUGUUAGAUACAUCCAUUUGAGGGACAAGCUUUUUCGAACGGAGGGAGUAGAUG
rfam:Triticum aestivum genome assembly, contig: Triticum_aestivum_CS42_TGACv1_scaffold_050386_1BS